GCGCCGGAGGCGGGGCUGGGGCCCGCGGCGCCAGGCGAUUGGCCGGCGCCCCGCGCGGAGCCGCUCCCCCGCCCUUACCGCCCGGCGGGCGCUUCCUGGACUCGGCUCCGGUGGCUGCCGGCGCGCCGGCGGGGAUGGAGAGUGAGGGGGCCGGGGGCCGGCGGCGGCCCCCUCUGUCUGGGGGAGGUCCGUUCUGCCCCCACCCGCGGCGCUGGGAAGUGUGUGCUCCACCUGCCAGUUGGGCCCGAGGGGACGCGGAGCCGGGCCCGCGUGCAACCGCGUGCCCUCAGCCCCGCGAGCGCAGGGUCCGAAGUCUGGGGGCGCCGGCGCGCUGAGGGGAGCGAGACUCGACGCGCUUGCACACGAAGGCCCAAGCCCCACCCUGAUGGCCCUCCAGCUGUUUCCAGAAGGCUCUCCCUGAAACACAAAUUGAGUAGAAACAAUCCUGCCGGGAUUUUAACUGGGAUUACAUAUGCCUAUAAGGGUUUGGGGGAGCAGGGAGAGGAAUGUGUAUCUUCAUAGAGUUUGGACAGCCCAUCGAGAGGUCUGAGGGGGUUUCUUUUUUCAUUUAUUUGGCUUAAAAAAAGGCUCCCAACAGAUUUUGUUUCCUUAAUUUUAUAUUAGUGAGUGAAAUAUUAAAGAGAAAUGCACACAAUCGUCGUAUUUCUCCUUAAUGAUUCACUCAUUUAUAUAAUGCUUUGUUGAUACUGGGGAUAAAUUGCCAGUUUUUUUCUUAUAUUUUCAAACAGGUCAUUGAUGAUAUAAUUGGUACUUAAUUCUAUAUAUCUUAUUUUAUAUCUAAGCACUUAACUGAUCUUUUUAAAAUACUCUUUAAUAGGGGUGCCUGGUGGGGGUGCUCAGGUCAUGAUCAUGGUCUGUGAGUUUGAGCCCCACGUGGGGCUCUGUGCUGACCGCUCAGAGCCUGGAGCCUGUUUCAGAUUCUGUGUCUCCCUCUCUCUCUCUGCCCCUCCCCCGUUCAUGCUCUGUCUCUCUCUCUCUCUCUCUCUCUCUCUCUCAAAUAAACAUUAAAAUUUAUUUUGCAAUACUCUAAUAAUUUUUCAGUUGGUUGCUUUGUUAACCAAAAUAAUACUUUCCCUCUUCCUUUCUAAUUUGUAUCCUUUUUAUGUCUUACAACUUGUAGCCAGAUUUGUCCAAGCCAAAUUAAAUAAUAUUGACCAUAUCUGACACUGGACUAAUUUCUGACAAAUGCUGAUUUCUUGGGAAUAAACACUUUUUUAAAACAAUAAUGCCAAGGAAAUAACUUUUAUGUGUCUACGUAGUGUUCAUGAGAAACGGCUGUCGAAUGUACGUCUGUGUUUUCUGCAUCUGUCAAGACCCCACUAAGAUCCCCUUCAUCUGAUCUGUAGUCAUACGAUAGCAGAUGAGUAGGCUUACUGACACUGCCUUUUUCUUUUCACCUUUAUCUACCCGACCUAGCCCAGUUCAUCAUCGGUGUCAAGUUGGCUUGCAUUAAAUGAUUGUAAACACCGUCCGGCCGUGGCACAUGCUCCCUUCUGUGCUGAGCCGGGUGGCUCUCUUGGGCCAGAGGAUGCUUACCCCACCGAGAGAGAGCACGGGCAGAGGAGUCUUGGCCGGCCGUGCCCACCGUGGUCCUGUCUUACCCACGUUGGCUCUCUUCUCUCCCCU